AUUGAACGCUGGCGGAAUGCUUUACACAUGCAAGUCGAACGGUAGAGGGGGCAACCCCUCGAGAGUGGCGAACGGGUAAGUAAUAUAUCGGAACGUGCCCAGUCGUGGGGGAUAACGUAGCGAAAGUUACGCUAAUACCGCAUACGAUCUAAGGAUGAAAGCGGGGGAUCGCAAGACCUCGCGCGAUUGGAGCGGCCGAUAUCAGAUUAGGUAGUUGGUGGGGUAAAGGCUGACCAAGCCAACGAUCUGUAGCUGGUCUGAGAGGACGACCAGCCACACUGGAACUGAGACACGGUCCAGAGUCCUACGGGAGGCAGCAGUGGGGAAUUUUGGACAAUGGACGCAAGUCUGAUCCAGCCAUUCCGCGUGCAGGAUGAAGGCCCUCGGGUUGUAAACUGCUUUUGUACGGAACGAAAAGGUCUCUCUUAAUACGGGGGACUCAUGACGGUACCGUAAGAAUAAGCACCGGCUAACUACGUGCCAGCCGCCGCCGUAACAC
rnacentral:rRNA from 1 species